UUAAGAAUUUUGCGCAAUGGGCGAAAGCCUGACGCAGCGACGCCGCGUGGACGAUGAAGGUCUUCGGAUUGUAAAGUCCAGUAAGCAGGGACGAAUAAAUCCCGGCUAAUAUCCGGGAUGAUGACGGUACCUGCCUAAAGCCUCGGCUAACUACGUGCCAGCAGCCGCGGUAAUACGUAUGAGGCAAGCGUUGUUCGGAAUUAUUGGGCGUAAAGGGCGUGUAGGCGGGGGAUUAAGUUAGGUGUGAAAGCCAUGGGCUCAACUCGUGAAUUGCAUCUAAUACUGGUCUUCUUGAGUUCGGGAGAGGAGAGCGGAAUUCCCGGUGUAGCGGUGAAAUGCGUAGAUAUCGGGAAGAACACCAGUGGCGAAGGCGGCUCUCUGGCCUAGAACUGACGCUAAGGCGCGAAAGCGUGGGGAGCGAACGGG
rnacentral:rRNA from 1 species